UACAGAGGGGGCAAGCGUUGUUCGGAAUUACUGGGCGUAAAGGGCGCGUAGGUGGCCUUCUAAGUCGAACGUGAAAUCCCUGGGCUCAACCCAGGAACUGCGUCCGAGACUGGGAGGCUUGAAUCCGGGAGGGGGAUGCGGAAUUCCAGGUGUAGCGGUGAAAUGCGUAGAUAUCUGGAGGAACACCGGUGGCGAAGGCGGCAUCCUGGACCGGUAUUGACACUGAGGCGCGAAAGCCAGGGGAGCAAACAGG
rnacentral:rRNA from 1 species